GUCUUGUUGAAAGUGACGCGCAUUUAAUGCUAAUCUUUAUUUGAGACAAUAACGCGAUGACCAGAAAUGCUAUAAAAACUCAUUGACAUUUCGAAUAAAUCUUAUUUUUAUUACUUUGAAUAUGUGAUAAAUAGUCACGGUCCAAGAAUCUGACGAUAAAAUUUCUUAAUUUUGUGGGUCUUAGAAUAUAUAAGUCAGAAAACUGCGCCAUAUAAGUUCAUUUAUUUUCUUGCAAAGACAACUGAAUAACGUUUUAUUUUUCUCUUAGGAGACAUCUUUUAUUCCAACUGACAUUAUUCACAAAAAAAGAAAAUGAAUUACUGCGUACUUGCAUUAGUUGUGGUUACCUUGUUUGCUUAUGCCCAUUCUGCUUCCAUGAGCCAGUCUUGUUCUUGGGGUCCUGAUGGCAUGCCUCGGUGUUCAACAAGUAAUGAUCCUAGAGGUAAUUCUGCUGGAGCUGUAGCUGGAUCAAAUGGAUAUGGAGGUCAAAUAUUUACAGGAGCUGGUGGUCCAGGUGGAUGGAAUUCAAAUUUUGGACAGUUCGGUUUUCCAGGAAAUGUUUUUCCUUUCGGUCAACAAUUACCUCAACUACAAUACUAUGGAAGGCGCUAAAUUCAGAGGUGAAAUUGUAAACUGACGUGUAAAAAAGUUCCGGAGAGUUAAGACUUUUACCUGAUAUACAUAUAUAUGUCUUUUUAUACAUUUGUAUUUUAAAUAAAUGUAUUUUAUUUAUA